rnacentral:lncRNA from 1 species
GGGCAACGUCCUGGAAGGUUAGUGACCAGAAUUAUUACUAGUGAGGGUAUUUAAUGCCACUGUGUUUCAUAUAAUCUGAUCUAUUUUUUUUUCUUUUUGUGGUAAUGGAGUGUCUCGUAACUUAAAAUCCUUCUGCAUUAGGAUGUUCUGUGCUUCUUGGCUGAGCAGCAGGUGGAAAUACAUUUCAGGGGCAAGAGCAGUGGCCUGGCAGAGCAGAGGAGAUGGCCCAACAGGCAUUGAUCUCCUCUGACAGCAAAUCAAGCGGUAUCUGUUGGUGAUCCCUACAACCAGGGCCUCCUGUCCUCUGGUACUGAGCCUGGGAGUCAGAAUAAGUCUGAGAUCAAAAUGUGAUCUUUCUACCUUAACCCAUCUCUCAGGCUGGUAGUAUUAUUUAAACAAACACAGAGCCGUGGAGUUAUAGUUAGUCAUAGAUAGGGUUGGCAACCUACAGACCAAACCAGCCCUCUGCCUAUCUGAGUAAAUAAACUUUUAUUAGAACACAACCACACUCAUUUAUUUACACAUCAUCUGUAGCUGCUGUUAUAUUACUGUGGUGGAGUUGCAUAGUUGUGAUAGACACUAAAUGGUUUGCAAAGUUUAAAAUGUUUAUAAUCUGGGGCUGGGGAUAUGGCUCAGUGGUAGAGCACUUGCUUAGCAUGUGUGAGGCACUGGGUUCGAUUCUCAGCACCACAUAUAAAUAAAUUAAUUAAAUAAAGGCCCAUCAACAACUAAAAAAAAUUUAAAAAAUUAAAUGUUUACAAUCUGAAUUAUUAUAGCUAUUAACUUCACAAAUAAUUAAAAUUUAAACCAUUCAAAAAUUUUAAAAAAAUGCUAAGCAAGUACUUGGCAGAGUUUGUUUAUAAUGCAUGUAAAGUUCUUUAUAUGUGAUGUUAUUUAUUGACUUAAAUUUUUUUUAAGUCUAUGAAAAUUUUUUAAGUCUCUGUUAAGUCUAUGAAAAAGAACAGUUGCUAUUGUUUCACUCUGAUAAAUAAAAAGAUGGGGCACACACACCAAAUAUUUACAAUCUGGUCCUUGACAGAAAAUUUGUCCCGAACUCUGGUGUGGAAGAUUCUCUGAGCAGACUCACCGUGAAGACCUUCUCUGGUUGACCCCGUGCUCUCAUGUUGGUGUCAUGAAUUAACUUCAGAAUCAUCCAAGCUUCAUCGUGUUUUCCAACCUAAGAAAUGUACAGGCAGUGAGGCUCUAGGAGCAAAACACAUAUCCCCCCUGAUUUUCCAAUAACCAUCUUGUACUCUCAGACCACAUAGAGUGUAAUUGUGCAAAGGCAUGUAGAUAAGUCCCACCAGCAGAAACAGAUUAUCUGGAUGUCAUUGAAUACACUAGCAGUUCAAACUAUGUGCCUGUAACUAGGAAUAGUACAUGUGAAGGGCAAAAUUUCAUUUACAAAAUAAUAAGGCAUGUUCUCUUCAUUAAGUGAAAGGUUGUUUAAGGAGGAACAUAAAUAUUUCUGGCCAUGAGGCAGCUUUUCCACACAUUGGUUGUUUAAAACCUGUCUUCAUGAAAUCUAACCCUCUAUGGUUCCAUGUAGGAAGGAAAACUGUACUUGCCAAAGAGACCAACAUAAUUCCUAGGAUUAGCAAGGAACUCCUUCCAGUGUAUGUGGGCUACUUGAGUAUAUGUAAUAAACAUUACCUCCAACAAGAACCGGGGGCUUUCAGGCAUGAAGGUGAGGGCUACCACAGAACAGACGCAGGGCAGCGCGCAGACAAUGACGAAUACACGCCAGCUGUGAAACUGGUAGGCUGAGCCCAUGCUGAAGCUCCACCCUGGAAGAGCAGACGGGAAGAAUGAGCAAGGCUUCCUCUAGGAGCCUGUCAGGAAAGUCCCCCUGGCAUCUCCACCUGGAUUUUUCAGUCGAGUUUUACUGUCCUCAGAGGAACAAGCUGAUCCGCCAUGGUGACCAACUCAGUUUUAAGUGUACCAUUGGCAGUGCUGAAAUAAAGAUGCCUGACCCCAAAGGGCUUCAGGUCUAAGUAGGGGGUGCCUGUGGGCUUAUAUAUAAUCAAAUCCCAAAGGCCAACAUUAAUUAGGGAAAAAUGCUUCAUCCAAUAGGUCACUGUGCUGGGUAUCUUGUGUUUGUUCUUUCAGAUCACUCUCCACUAUUUUCCACCCUGCUGUCUGCCAUGAAAUGGCUCUCUGUAGAUAGCAUCCAUGGCUCCCAGUUAGGUUGGAGUAAAGGAAGCAGCCAAGGGAACAUCGAGUCUGCUGAGCGUGGUACCCAGCUCCAAACAGAAACUGAAGAUUUCUAAAUGUAACAGAAAUAGAAUUUUUAUCUUAAUAUAGUAAAAAACAACCACAGUGGGAUGCAAACAGAAAUGCCUUUAAGAACAAAAAGCCAAUCUUUGAAUGAAUAUUAAAAUGGUUGAAAGGAAAAUGCAAACAUGAUUCUAAAUGCAAAGUAAUGAGGCGUAUCAAAUCUAAUUGAAAACACAGAGGAGAUUUAUAGAGGCAGAGAUGAAUUAUGUGGAGUGAAAUUCUAAUUUAUAGCAAGGCUUGGUGUUUCUAAGACUUUCUGUGAACGUAAGUCAGGUAGUCUACAUCCCAGUCCCAGGAGAACUGUAUAAUUAUUCACUGUUCACACAAAAGCCAAGUGAGAUUCUGAAGGUGACAUAACUUCCUCAAGGCCACAGAGCUGAAGUCACAUAUCAGAAUCUUCCCUGUCAGGAUUUGAAACAGAAUUAUAUAUCAACACAUGGCCUCAUGUGUGUACCCACUCACUCACUGAAUUUGUUGACAAGUGAUGUAAGCAUCAAUGACAUACUAUAUUAAUCUUAGAUUAAUAAAUUUUCCUGGGAAUUUAGUAUAUGGAUAUUAUGGGGGUUGAUAAAUUAAUUUUUAAAUAAAUGUUAGGGAAAUAUGAUUGCUUUUGAUGCUUUAUGUGGCAUAAAUUAAAAAGUUUUACCUAUCCAAUGCAGAAUAAAUUCUAUGAUGGAACAGGGGAAAUAUAACUGCUUAUUUCAUAUUUGAUUUCAGAGCUUCAUCUAAAUAUCUUUUUUUUUUUAAAAAAAAAGACAUUCUAGGUUCUAUUAUUUUAAACAUUGGAAGAAAAAUGAAAGAUUUCAGCGAUCUGUUAAAUUUCAGGCUAGAGCACAUUCCAUAAAGUACAAGGAAGAGGAUCAAAGACAAAUGGGGGAAGACUCUGGUACCAUCGAUCAAAUAUGUUAGUUCAGAAAGUGAAGUUUGUAAAGGAGAAAUUUACUACAGUGAGUAGAGUUGAUGCUUCUUGUAGAUGGAAUAAUGCUUCCUCCCCGCAAAGCCAUUCUCAUCCUAAUCUCCAGAGUCUGUGAACAUGUUACCCUACAUGAAAAGAGACGCAGCAAGAAUUAUUAAGUCAAACAUAUGGAGAGAAAGAUUGUCCUGCAGUAUGUGACUAGGCCAAGUGUAAAUGCAAGUGUCCUUCAAUGGACAAGAGGGAAGUAGGAGAAUCUGAGUGAGAGAAGGACAGAAGCCGAGGUUGGACUGGGGAGAUUUGAAGACGCCAUGCUGCUUGCUUUGGAGAUUGAGGCAGAGACCACAAGCCAAGGAAUGUAGGUGACUGGUAGAAAAGGCCAAGACUCCUCUCCUAGCGAAACUCUGCCAGUGUACUUGAACUUCUGACCUCAAGAAGUGUCAGAUAAUAAGUUUAUAAUGUUUGAGGCUGAAACAUUUGUGGUGAUUUAUUGCAGCAGUAAUAGGAAACUGAUACACUCCUCUUUGUAAUUACAGCUUGUGAUAGUUAGCUUUUUCACCACUGUGACCAAAAGACCUGACAAGAACAAUGUAGAGGAGGAAAAGUUUAUUUGGUGCUCAUGGUUUCAAAGGUCUCAGUCCAUAGAUGGUUGACUCUGUUGCUCUGUGCUCGAGAUGAGGCAGAACAUCAAGGUAGAAGGGUGUGACAGAGGAAAGUAGCUCAGGAUGUGGUGACAAGGAAGCAGAGAGAGGGCUCUGUUCACCAGGGACAA